AGUUGUCUAGUUGAUAUGUUGGCCUUCGUGUGACGCGAAGUUGGUUAGUUUCUUUCUGUCGUGGACGUUUCAAUGUAUCACAUCACUGUGCGUUUUAAAUUUAAAAAAUAGUAUUCGGAAAUUUUAUGAACAGUUAAUAAAAAAAAAAAAGAAAAAUACAAAAGAACAAAAAGGAAACUAGAACGAUGAUGAAUCCAUUUCGACAAGAUUGAUUUUCUUAUGAAUUGAUUAUUUGUAUGACUAUCUGAAUUGAUGGAAAAAAUCUCUAUUAUGAACUCUGCGAGAAGGGGAAAUGAUCUUGUCUAGACAUUUAUAACGCAACAAAAAAAAGUUUUAUGAUAAUGCGUAUAAAGUUGCAUUAAUAAACAACACUGUUUUUUGCUGGAAUGAAUGGUCCGCUGCACCUCGUGCAGUCGUUUCACAAACUCGCGCAAACACGGAAGCUAACGGGGUAGAAUGUUUGAGAGAGUGAAUUUCUCUGGAGAGUAAAUAAGACAAAAGCCGCUGCGUAGGAUGUUUCGUAUCUACUGGAACAACGUUAAAUCGAUCAUUCAGAUAAAAAAAAUCGUAAGUGGUUUCACAGAUUUUCAUCCUUCUUGUUGUUUAUGAUGAUAAUACGAUCUGUAAUCAAAUAAAUAAAGUAAAUGAAGUUUGAGAUAAAAAAAAGAGUUAUCUUUGUAAUCGUUCUUUUUUUUUCUAUUAUAUAAAAUGAAUG